AAACAAUCUGAUUUACCUUCUCGGCACUAUGUUUGUUGGUGGGGUUAUCACUUCGAGAUGGAUUUUCUUUUCGUAUUAAUAAAAGAAAUGAGUAGCGAUAGCAUUAGAGUUAAGGAAAAUUUAAAAAGGGACAAAACCGUCAACGUUGAUAUAAAACUCAGUAAAGGCGGACUGAAUCUCGGUUACGUUAAAUCCAAGACAACCAACAUCAAGUACGUUACGUCGUGUAAGGAAGGCAAAGCAGGACCGUCAACAAAAACUGUGAAGGAAGAAAAACCAAAGUCAGCGAAAAACAAGAAGAAGAAUAAAUAAAAUGGGAUGUUUACAUGCAAAACCCGAGAACACAAAUGAAGUGAAGUACGACAAAAACCAUCGGAAAAGGAAAAUGUUCAGUUUCGGAAUUGGUAUAGAACGUGGUGAUCUCACUAUCAACGCUAACACCCAAAUUGGAUACGUUAGUACAACAGUAAAAAAGUAUGAUAGAACAAAUGAUCGGAACCCGAGUAUUACGGAG